rnacentral:misc_RNA from 1 species
AACCAUUCUCACCUGCGGCUAGACCUGCGGAAGGAUCAUUACCGAGUUUACAACUCCCAAACCCCUGUGAACAUACCUAUACGUUGCCUCGGCGGAUCAGCCCGCGCCCUGUAAAAAGGGACGGCCCGCCCGAGGACCCUAAACUCUGUUUUUAGUGGAACUUCUGAGUAAAACAAACAAAUAAAUCAAAACUUUCAGCAAUGGAUCU